GAUCCUGCUGGCGGCGUGCUUAACACAUGCAAGUCGAACGCUGAAACUUGGUGCUUGCACUGGGUGGAUGAGUGGCGAACGGGUGAGUAAUACGUGAGUAACCUGCCCUUAACUCUGGGAUAAGCCUGGGAAACUGGGUCUAAUACUGGAUAUGACAUGUCACUGCAUGGUGGCGUGUGGAAAGGGUUUUACUGGUUUUGGAUGGGCUCACGGCCUAUCAGCUUGUUGGUGGGGUAAUGACCCACCAAGGCGACGACGGGUAGCCGGCCUGAGAGGGUGACCGGCCACACUGGGACUGAGACACGGCCCAGACUCCUACGGGAGGCAGCAGUGGGGAAUAUUGCACAAUGGGCGAAAGCCUGAUGCAGCGACGCCGCGUGAGGGAUGACGGCCUUCGGGUUGUAAACCUCUUUCAGCACGGAAGAAGCGAGAGUGACGGUACGUGCAGAAGAGGCGCCGGCUAACUACGUGCCAGCAGCCGCGGUAAUACGUAGGGCGCAAGCGUUGUCCGGAAUUAUUGGGCGUAAAGAGCUCGUAGGCGGUUUGUCGCGUCUUCUGUGAAAGCCCGGGGCUUAACCCCGGGUGUACAGUGGGUACGGGCAGACUUGAGUGCAGUAGGGGAGACUGGAAUUCCUGGUGUAGCGGUGAAAUGCGCAGAUAUCAGGAAGAACACCGAUGGCGAAGGCAGGUCUCUGGGCUGUUACUGACGCUGAGGAGCGAAAGCAUGGGGAGCGAACAGGAUUAGAUACCCUGGUAGUCCAUGCCGUAAACGUUGGGCACUAGGUGUGGGGGACAUUCCACGUUUUCCGCGCCGUAGCUAACGCAUUAAGUGCCCCGCCUGGGGAGUACGGCCGCAAGGCUAAAACUCAAAGGAAUUGACGGGGGCCCGCACAAGCGGCGGAGCAUGCGGAUUAAUUCGAUGCAACGCGAAGAACCUUACCAAGGCUUGACAUACACCGGACCGGUCCAGA
rnacentral:rRNA from 1 species